GGAUAAGCCGUCUUUCGCGUCACACGGCGUCGGGGGAGGGGAAGGGGCGAGGGAAGGCGUCGGAAGUACCGCAUAGAUGAGGGCGAAGUGGAAGAAGAAGCGAAUGAGGAGGCUCAAGAGGAAACGCCGAAAGAUGCGGCAGAGAUCAAAGUAGGUAGCCAGGGUUGAGCUGCAUCCAUCACAUCUCAGUUAUGAAGGUGGUCGAUUUAGAUUAAGUUCUCCACAUGAUGGUGGGGUGUAUCAUUGGAAGCUAACUCUUUUCCUGAUGAUGCCUUCUGAUCUUUAUGAUUCUGCUUUGACUGCAACGAUUUUGUUUGAAGACAAUAUUUCCAAUUUAAUCGAAUGCCUUUGAUAUCUUUUAUUGGUUUUA